AGGAGCCGGAUGCAGUGAAAGCUGCACGUCCGCGUUCUGAAGGAGAGGUGUCUCCUGGUAACAGGAGCAUCGACUCUAAU
rnacentral:ncRNA from 2 species